AUUGAACGCUGGCGGCAGGCCUAACACAUGCAAGUCGAACGAGUGGCGGAAGGGUGAGUAAUGUCUGGGUAACUGCCCGAUGGAGGGGGAUAACUCCUGGCAACGGUAGCUAAUACCGCCAAGCAUCGGAUGUGCCCAGAGGGGAUUAGCUAGUAGGUAGGGUCACGGCUAACCGGGGCGACGAUCCCUAGCUGGUCUGAGAGUAUGACCGGCCACACUGGAACUGAGACACGGGCCAGCCUGCUACGGGAGGCAUCAGUGGGGAAUAUUGCACAAUGGGCGCAAGCCUGAUGCAGCCAUGCCGCGUGUAUGAAGAAGGCCUUCGGGUUGUAAAGUACUUUCAGCGAGGAGGCGUUACUCGCAGAAGAAGCACCGGCUAACUCCGUGCCAGCAGCCGCGGGAAUAC
rnacentral:rRNA from 1 species